rnacentral:rRNA from 1 species
AUUGAACGCUGGCGGCAUGCCUAACACAUGCAAGUCGAGCGAGCGGCGGACGGGUGAGUAAUGUAUGGGAAACUGCAUGAUGGAGGGGGACAACUACUGGAAACGGUAGCUAAUACAGCAUACCAUCAGAUGUUCCCAGAUGGGAUUAGCUAGGAGGUGGGGUAACGGCUCACCUAGUCGACGAUCCCUAGCUGUUCUGAGAGGAUGACCAGCCACACUGGAACGGAGACACGGGCCAGACUCCGACGGGAGGCAGCAGUGGGGAAUCUUGCACAAUGGGCGCAAGCCUGAUGCAGCCAUGCCGCGUGUGUGAUGAAGGCCUUCGGGUUGUAAAGCACUUUCAGCGAGGAAGCGGUACCCGAAGAAGAAGCACCGGCUAACUCCGUGCCAGCAGCCGCGGUAAUUC